CGCACGGUGGCUCGCUCUGGCGCUGGCCUCUCCGGGCGCACCGCUCCUUUCUCGCGGCGAGGGUGGGUCGGGCUGCAUCACCGUGACAUCACCUCCAUUCAGGGCGCUGAUCGGGCGCCACCAGGGCUCCAGAUUGCACACGUGGACACGCCACACUCCGAGCGCCCGUCUCUUUCUCACGCGCGGUCCUGCCGGGACAACCCGGUCUCCGAGAUGACCGAGAAGAGAAUGCCGCCACGUACGCCCCGAACCCCUGCGCACCACCAGCCAACGCCGCGGGCCUGUCUCCCCCCGCGCGCUCGCCCUCCCCCGGGCCCCUGGUCCCUGUUGGCGACCGACCUGUGUUAAUAACCCUUCCCAGUUUUGUUCCCCGAGGUACAGUGUUUAACCUGGCCCCGCUGGUCUCUGCGCUCCGGGCCAAGUAGCCCUUAACUCCGAGUUCGGUCCCCGUCCCCCAGCCAGAAAACUUUUUCCACGAAGUCGGGAUCUCCCGCGCCCCACACCCACCACCUUGCCCCGGGUGGAUCAACCGGUUGCCAUCCUUUCCCCUCCGGACCCGGAAAUCUGCUGAAAGGGAUCCGCAGAAAUAAGGUUAUCGAGUCCCAGCUGGGGGAACUCUCCGGCCCCGGGCCUGGUGGUACAUGCCUUUGCCUUGACUUCCUUCUCACAAGACUUUCAGGACCAAGCAAUUCCUGGCCAAGAAACAAGCAAGAUGGAUCCAGAUGAAAACUGGUCACAGAAUCGGGUGCAGCUGCAAGAGAAGACACCGCAGGAGAACCAAGCUGGGCCUGUAAGGACUGGCACACAACGGCACGACCGUGAACCCCGACUCGUGACCAGUGAUCCAUCCUGAGAAUGUCUCAGGAUUUGCUUUUUGUUGGUUGGUUUGUUUCAAGGCAGGGUCUCACUGUAGCCCAGGCUAACCUGGAACUCACCCUGUAGUUCCAGGCUGGCCUUGAACCCACAGCAAUCCUCCUGCAUCUGCCUCCAGAGUGCCGGGAUAGAAGAUGAAUGAAUGCCACCACACUCGGCAGGUUUUGUUUUCUUUCUAAUCUACAUGCGUGCCAUUGGUUCAGUAAUAAAUUUGUAGGCUCUU